rnacentral:lncRNA from 1 species
GGUGGGAAGGCAUCACUAUAGAUAUUCAAUUACAAAUAUCUAUAUGUGAUAUGUGCAAAUAUAACUAUAUAACUUUCCAUGAAACUUGUUCCUAACAUUUGUAUUAGUCUUUAGUGCAAUAUUGCAUUGUGUGUUUUUUACAUCUUACAUGUAAAUCAUAUUUCAUUGGCAUUAUUACGUCCAUAAAUUUUUACUCCAAUUUUUUUAAUCAAUACCAGAGCUGGAGGGAGGAUCUGAUGGAGUGAGCUUAGUAGAAGCAUUAGCAGACUUCGAGGAAAUAAGAGUUUGGCAUUCAAGCUUUUUAGGAUCACACUAAUUUGGAUCAAUUGAGGCCAACCUAACACUCCAAUUUGGUGUUAUAAUCAAGAGAAGGUUAACUGAGGUUGGUAGAACCUUCAACGACACUGAUUGGGAUUCAAUUAAUAUACCCAACUAUAAGCUUUGGCAAUCCAAAAAAUGACAUUUCAGCUUGUUGAUAGGAUCGAGCUUAACAGAACCUCAAGUAAGUCAAAAUUUGUAUUAGAGCUUGUUUCGAGGCAGUGAUUAAAAACUGAUUUGGUGUUAUAGUUUUAAACAAGCUCGAACUCCACCUUAUCGAGUUCAAAGCUCAAGAUGAUCUCAGGUUAUCCCGGAUUAGUAUUUUAGCUUUCUUAGGCUUGAGUUCAUGGUUGAAUUAUGUUUGAAAAAGUUGAGAAACGUUCAAUAGUUAUAAAGAUCAUUAUAUACUAAUGUAGAAGUGAAACUAAGUUAACCUUCUUAUUUAGCGUUACUUUUUAAAUAUACUCAGAAAUUAUUUUGUUUAUUUUUUUUUUAUCAAAUAUUCAUGUUAUAUACUUAUUAUCAAAAGCCAUCGGUUCUAAUGUUUAUCUGGACUCUUCCAUCGUAUUUGUUGGAGCUAUCUUGGGCUAUCAUCAUAUUGCGUUUGAUUAAUUUCUCAUCAUAAUAACGAUGAAAUACUAGUACAAAUAAUUAAUCGCGCGGUUACAAAUUAGGAUAAAUGGGUAAAAUUAUUUGUACUAAACUUUUUUAUUUCAUUAUGACUAAUUCUUUGACUUACACUCUGACCCAAUAUAUUUUCUACUACUUUUUGCAAAAUAAACCACUUAAUUAAUAUACAAUAUUUCUAAACCACAAUUUUAAUGUGUAUUGUGCAUAAUGCAAUAACUUCAAAUUUAGAGGAUAUAUUACAAAGGAAAAUGAUGUAUGAUGUUUUCAUUUCGAGAGACUACCCUCAAAAUAUAUUUUUCUAAAUAGAUAUUCUAUAUUAAAUAGUUUUAAAAAGAAA